UACGUAGGGUGCAAGCGUUGUCCGGAAUUAUUGGGCGUAAAGAGCUCGUAGGCGGUCUGUUGCGUCGGCUGUGAAAACCCGGGGCUCAACCCCGGGCCUGCAGCCGAUACGGGCAGACUAGAGUUCGGCAGGGGAGACUGGAAUUCCUGGUGUAGCGGUGAAAUGUGCAGAUAUCAGGAGGAACACCGGUGGCGAAGGCGGGUCUCUGGGCAACAACUGACGCUGAGGAGCGAAAGCGUGGGGAGCGAACAGG
rnacentral:rRNA from 1 species